UGGCCAAUUAUUUAUCUCUGU
rnacentral:piRNA from 1 species